UGGGGAAUCUUGCGCAAUGGGCGAAAGCCUGACGCAGCGACACCGCGUGGGGGACGAAGGCCUUUCAGGUCGUAAACCCCUUUCGGCAGGGACGAAGCGAUCUCGUGACGGUACCUGCAGAAGAAGCCUCGGCUAACUACGUGCCAGCAGCCGCGGUAACACGUAGGAGGCGAGCGUUGUCCGGAAUCAUUGGGCGUAAAGAGCGCGCAGGCGGCCCGGCAAGUCGGGUGUGAAAUCUCGGGGCUCAACCCCGGAACUGCAUCCGAUACUGCCGGGCUAGAGGUAGGUAGGGGAGAUCGGAAUUCCUGGUGUAGCGGUGAAAUGCGCAGAUAUCAGGAGGAACACCGGUGGCGAAGGCGGAUCUCUGGGCCUUACCUGACGCUCAGGCGCGAAAGCUAGGGGAGCGAACAGGAUUAGGAUACCCUGGUAGUCCUAGCCGUAAACGUUGGGUGC
rnacentral:rRNA from 1 species